rnacentral:rRNA from 1 species
AGCAUAUCAAUAAGCGGAGGAAAAGAAACUAACAAGGAUUCCCCUAGUAACUGCGAGUGAAGCGGGAAAAGCUCAAAUUUAAAAUCUGGCGGUCUUUGGCUGUCCGAAUUGUAGUCUGGAGAAGUGCUUUCCGCGCUGGACCGUGUAAAAGUCUCUUGGAAUAGAGCGUCAUAGAGGGUGAGAAUCCCGUCUUUGACACGGACAACCAGUGCUUUGUGAUGCGCUCUCAAAGAGUCGAGUUGUUUGGGAAUGCAGCUCAAAAUGGGUGGUAAAUUCCAUCUAAAGCUAAAUAUUGGCGAGAGACCGAUAGCGAACAAGUACCGUGAGGGAAAGAUGAAAAGCACUUUGGAAAGAGAGUUAAACAGUACGUGAAAUUGCUGAAAGGGAAACGCUUGAAGUCAGUCGCGUUGUCCAGAACUCAGCCUAGCUUCUGCUUGGUGCAUUUUCUGGUUAACGGGCCAGCAUCAAUUUUGACUGUUGGAUAAAGGCUUUGGGAAUGUGGCAUUCGAUUUAUCGGAUGUGUUAUAGCCCUUGGUUGCAUACAGCAGUUGGGAUUGAGGAUUGCAGCAUGCCUUUAUGGUCGGGGUUCGCCCACGUUCAUGCUUAGGAUGCUGGCGUAAUGGCUUUAAACGACCCGUCUUGAAACACGGACCAAGGAGUCUAACAUGCCUGCGAGUGUUUGGGUGGAAAACCCGAGCGCGUAAUGAAAGUAAAAGUUGGGAUCCCUGUCGUGGGGAGCACCGACGCCCAGACCAGACCUUCUGUGACGGAUCUGCGGUUGAGCAUGUAUGUUGGGACCCGAAAGAUGGUGAACUAUGCCUGAAUAGGGUGAAGCCAGAGGAAACUCUGGUGGAGGCUCGUAGCGAUUCUGACGUGCAAAUCGAUCGUCAAAUUUGGGUAUAGGGGCGAAAGACUAAUCGAACCAUCUAGUAGCUGGUUCCUGCAA